GUAGGUGGCAAGCGUUGUCCGGAAUUAUUGGGCGUAAGGCGCGCGCAGGCGGUUCUUUAAGUCUGAUGUGAAAGCCCACGGCUCAACCGUGGAGGGUCAUUGGAAACUGGAGAACUUGAGUACAGAAGAGGAAAGCGGAAUUCCACGUGUAGCGGUGAAAUGCGUAGAGAUGUGGAGGAACACCAGUGGCGAAGGCGGCUUUCUGGUCUGUAACUGACGCUGAGGCGCGAAAGCGUGGGGAGCAAACAGGAUUAGAUACCCUGGUAGUCCACGCCGUAAACGAUGAGUGCUAAGUGUUAGGGGGGUUUUCCGCCCCCCUUAGUGCUGCAGCUAACGCAUUAAGCACUCCGCCUGGGAGUACGGCCGCAAGGCUG
rnacentral:rRNA from 1 species